GAUUUGGUCGGGUGGUCCGCUUAACGGCGUGUUACUGCUUGGCUGGGUCUUGUCUCUUGGUGAACCAUUGUGCCCUUUAUUGGUGUGCUUUGGGGAACCAGGACUUUUACCUUGAAAAAAUUAGAGUGUUUAAAGCAGGCACACGCUUGAAUACAUUAGCAUGGAAUAAUAGAAUAGGACUGCGGUUCUAUUUUGUUGGUUUCUAGGACCGAAGUA
rnacentral:rRNA from 1 species